UACGAAGGGUGCAAGCGUUACUCGGAAUUACUGGGCGUAAAGCGUGCGUAGGUGGUGAGUUAAGUCUGUCGUGAAAGCCCCGGGCUCAACCUGGGAAUGGCGAUGGAUACUGGCUCGCUAGAGUGCGGUAGAGGAGAGUGGAAUUCCCGGUGUAGCAGUGAAAUGCGUAGAGAUCGGGAGGAACAUCAGUUGCGAAGGCGGCUCUCUGGACCGAUACUGACGCUGAGACGCGAAAGCGUGGGGAGCAAACAGG
rnacentral:rRNA from 1 species